CCCGCCUAACUCCAUUUUGGGGGCAGUUAGGGAAAGGAAAUGCCCAAACGCGAGGGUGGGUUGAUAAUCCUGAAGGAACGCACACCGAGUUUUCACGCCUCAAGAAACAGCUUCAAGGUCCCACAUCUUCAAAAGCAAGUCUUUUAA
rnacentral:lncRNA from 1 species